AAAUUUUUUAGUUUACUAACCAAACUAAUAUAAUUACAUAUUUAAUAUAAUUCUUUUUCAGAGGACUUCACACAGAAAUCAAGCUCAGGCAAUCAACCAAUUGACCCUAAAAAAGGAAUAUUCGAGAGAUUUGAUUGGAAAUGGCCUAAAAAGUCAGAAGGGCCAGACACAGAAAUGGAAACAUUUCAGUUAUUUCCUCCUCCGUCCAGUUUUCGGUCUAGAGAGGGUGUUUGGACUGAAGUACUCUCCAUAGACAAAGAACACAUCAUGUCAUCAGAUUCAGAAGAUGAGCUCAGUGCAGAAUACAGGAGGAAGUUAAGAUUGAAACAACGCUUAGGUAUGGAUUUUUACAUAUUAUAAACUGUAAUUAAAAAAUUAUUCCUCUUCCAU
rnacentral:lncRNA from 1 species